rnacentral:tRNA from 1 species
GGAUCGAUAGCUCAGCGGUAGAGCGUGGGAUUGCAGAUCCUAAGGUCGCGUGUUCAAUCCACGCUCGGUCCU